UGCUGGGGGUGCAGUGGGGGGUGAUAAUAAAAGGGACCUUGAUAUGAACCGCUUGGGAACCACCUGUGUAGGAGGCAGUUCGGGAGUGACUCUCAAAAGUGCAGUGGCUUGCAAGAUUCAGAGCUGGCGUGGGCAGGGACACCCCUCUCAGAGCUAACAGACUGCACCGCAGCCCUGGCGCCUGCUCCGGGAAUCAGGAACCACCCUCGGCUGAAGGGAGCCAUCUUGCCUGGGCUUCCCCCUCCCAGAAGGCACAAGGACCCCAUCGCCUCAAUGGGGGCACAUCUUAAAAGGGCCACCCAAGCUUCAGCACACCAGCCUCGCUGCCGUUCAGCCUUUCCUGCGCCAGCCUGCCUUCAUGAUUCCCCAGCGGGGCUGCUCCAUCACCACUACCACG